UACGGGGGGAGCAAGCGUUGUUCGGAUUUACUGGGCGUAAAGGGCGCGUAGGCGGCCAGCACAAGUCAGUUGUGAAAUCUCCGAGCUUAACUCGGAAAGGUCAACUGAUACUGUGCGGCUAGAGUGCGGAAGGGGCAACUGGAAUUCUCGGUGUAGCGGUGAAAUGCGUAGAUAUCGAGAGGAACACCUGCGGCGAAGGCGGGUUGCUGGGCUGACACUGACGCUGAUGCGCGAAAAGCUAGGGGAGCGAACGGG
rnacentral:rRNA from 1 species